UUCCGGAUCUUCUCGAUUACUCUCCGAUCUUCAGCCCCCCCGGCCUCCGACCACCAGACGAGCGAGCCCCGACGCGUCACCACCCUCAGCCCGAGACGCCGCUCGAUCACUGGGGGACACACGCACUCAGCACCUUGGACUGGAACCCCCCGGAAACUUGGUGACCCCCGGAGCCCAGGUAACCCACAGGACCCUGAAAAACCCCAGAGCCCCUGGAACCCCUGACACCCCUGGCACUCCUAGCACCCCUGGACCCGGAACCUCCAAGACCUCACGAUUCUCUCACUCCUCUUCCCCCCUGAACCCUUCAAUAAAAAGACUCUGAAUUUGAA